GGUAAAGUAAGCUAACCUAAGCUGCCGGGCUCAUAACCCGGAAAUGGCAUUUAUGCCCUCUACCC
rnacentral:tRNA from 1 species